rnacentral:lncRNA from 1 species
GGGGCGCAGCAUCCUGGCGCGGGCUCCUGCCGCCGCCGCCACUGCCGUCGGGGAAGGUCCCAGCGCGGUCAUGGCCUUGCGCGGCGCCCGCCCGGGCCCGAGCCCCCAGUGCCCCGCGCAGUAGCCCCGCGGCGAGGCGGCCCGGACGGUGCCGACGGCUCAGACGGGCGGGCGGCAUGGAGGAGGCGCACCUGCUCCCGGCCGCGGACGUGCUGCGUCGCUUCUCGGUGACGGCCGAGGGCGGCCUGAGCCCCGCGCAGGUGACACGCGCGCGAGAGCGCUACGGCCCCAACGGCCCAGGGACCAGUGAGGCCCUUCCGGGCUUCCCACCUCUAUCCGCGUCCGCGUCCACUCGGGCAGGCCUUAGCUCACCCCCACCGGCCGUCAGCACUGCAUCCCCGCGCCGCCGCCACCCGCCCUGCCAGCAUCUUGCAGGUGCACGCACAGGUCGACUGGCGACAGACCAGCCAGGAAUUCCUGAGGCGCAGCCUGCCAGCUGACCCCGCAGGGCUCUCCUGCACUGGGGACUCAGUGAAAUACCCAGAAGGUGCAGACUGUCAGCUGGCAGCCUUGGGGCCUCCACCCCCACCCCAGGUCUUCCUCUUUCUGCAGCCCCAGGCGGAUGUGGCUGGCGGGAGUUGGUGGGGGCUUUGAACUGCAGAGGCGGGAGACCCACCUCCGGGGGGCGGGGGGUAGGGGGAGGUGGCAGGUUCAAGGCCUCACUGGGGGAGUUGCCUGGGAGGCCUUUCCUUCCUGGGUGACCUGGAGCCACGCCUGCCCAUCUCUGGGCGGAGAGGGAGCUUUCACGCUGUUGCUUUUGGGGUGGGAAAAGCGUCCUUCUUCGUCAUGUUUAAAGGAGUGUGGGAUUCCCCACCUGCCAGGAGGCACAGCUAGUGCCAGCAUCGUCCCCGUGUGACCCUGAGAGGGUAGAAGAUGUAGACUCCCUCCCCGAGUUGCUUCCCGGCAGGAUUUGCCACCCCCUUCGCCCUCCCCAGGGCACUGGGCAGAGUGCUAGGGGCAGGGAGAGAAAUGUCGCCUGCAUCCCCAGAGUGCAGCCGGGACCUGCAUCCGUUCAGGACUCAGGGUCUCACCCUCUCAGGGUUCCCAGCCAGCCAGAGGGAAGGUUCUCUGGCGCGAGGGUCUCACUGCUCAGUGCCGGCUUGAAAAUAACGAAGAGCUGUCAAAAAGGGAGCUUUGGGUUUUGUAUUGGUUUAUGACAACCACCUCUUGUAUAAAUAUUAUCUUUCUGGAGCAGAAAUCCUUUUUCAAAAAAAUUAGUUGCUAUAUUUAGUUGAGCUGUGGGAGGAACUAGGGAGAUAAAUAUUAUUUAAUAUCCCCCAUUCGUGACUUGGCAGAGAGGGUUCCUUGCUGCAAGAGGGCAGGGCAGCAGGUCUGGGGUUCCAGCGCCUCCUCUGUGGCCUCCAGCUUGGGAGUCCUGAUUCCCAAGGGAAGCUGGAGACCUGGGGCUUUGUUUUGCCUCCCAAAUCACGCAGAUGUUGCCCUGCAUUACCCUGGCCACACCCUUCUCCUUUCUGGCCCCCAUGUCUUCAUCAGUCCAGCAGAGGGGAAGCUGGCUGGGGAGGAGGGAGCCUCUGGUUCGCCCCUGCGCUCUUUCCUCUGGUUGUUUCUUUGGGGGGAUGCCCUGGCCACUGAGCAUCUCUGUGAGGUGACGGAUCAGGAUGGCACUGGAGGAGGGUGGCAGGAAAAGAUGGGGGGCUGUUCCCGAGCUCCCCUGGUUCCUCUGUGCUUUGACAAUAGUAAAAAACAAAAGUUAGUGUUCAGUGGGACCAGGCCAGAGCCGGGUCUUAGCACUUUUCAUCUCUUAUCUUGUUUCUUCCCCCAAACAACCGUUGUCACCCUCAUUUUACAGAAGAGAUGACUGAGGCCCCAGAUUAGAUAGCUUACCCCAAGUCACACAGCAAGUGGUACUGGGUGCCCGCCCCUCUCUGGGCCUCAAUUUCCCUAGAGGUCCCAGGUUCUGCAGGCUCUGGGACCCUGGUGUUGGGGUCGGUACUCGGAGCCCGGGUAGCUCCACAGGAGCUGUUCCAGCCUCGGACGCACGCCAGUGCUCUGGAAGUUGUCAGGUGAGGGGAAGGGAGCCAGCUGCCCCUUCCUGCUUCAUGCUCCCCCCACCCAGCCCCGGCCUGAGGAGGCGUGGGUGUCACAGUCUCUGCCAGCACAGCCUUUGGGGUGAGGCUGACAGGGUUUUGAGCCCCAGCUCUGUCUGUUCAUAACCGUGCUUCCCCUCUCUGUGCCGCCACUCAUUCAUCAUAAGCGGGGCUGCCACAGGACCCACGUCACAGGCUUAUUUGUGAGUGUUUGCGUUCACCGAGCCGAAGAAACUGGCCCUGGCUCUGGACCAGAAGCUCGAGGGAGAGGGGAGGGACCUGCAGGCUGCGGGGAACACCCCAGGGACUAGUGUCCCCCCCCACCCCAGGAGUCUAUGCACCUGCAGGGUCGUUAGCACUGGAAACCACAAGGAAGUCAUUUGCUUAAGUCCUGAAGUUUGCAAGUUCUGCCAGCAGAGGAAGAGGGGAGGCAGGGGCUGCGGACCCUCCCUCCUCCCUCCUCUGAGCUCGGGGAGGGGCCUCCGUGAGUGAAUGUGCUGGGAGCUGUAGCCCCGAUGUGUCCCAACCCCAGUGUGUAGCAUGUCCUCCGAGGCCCCGACUGGGCAGUAAGUGGGAGGCUCCUGGCCUCUUGGGAGCCUGCCUUUCUCUGCAGGUCCCAGAGGUGCCCAGGGCUCAGCUUUCUCCCAGGGCUUUCUACAUCCUUUCAACUUAUUUUUCGUAUAAAAAUGUAUAGCCUUCAAAGGGUGAGUAUAUGAUAAGUUCUCCCUAGAUCUGUCCCCAAACACCCACUCCCAGUGGCCCGUGUCACCCUCAAGGUAUCCUGUGUACACACGCGUCUGGUCUGUGAUGGAUGAUCUUUUUUCCAUGAAAGGGAGUGGAUUUCGAGGGCUCUUUUGCCCCUUCUUUCCAUGUGGUCGUCACUCUUGGAGAUGGCUCCACCUGGCACAUCCUUUGGCGUCCUGGUGGCUAGGCAGAGGCUGUUCCAGCCUUUCCUCACCCGAGCUUUUGAUUGUUCACAGCCUCUGUGAUCACACAUGUGUUAUAAGGCAUAUGCUUGCCCCCACAUCAUUUCACACACUGUGAAUAUCGGCAAAGGAUAAAUUCCUAGAAGUAGACCCGCUGGUGAAAGAGCGUGUGUAUUUUCCAUUUUGACACCUAUUGCUAAAUUGCUCUCCGUAAAGUUGCACCAAUGGACCUCCCCGUUUCCCCACCACCUGACCACAUGAUGCAUUAUCGGAUGCCCAUCUAAUAGAAAAGUGGCCUCUCAUAGUCUUAUUUUGCAUUUCUCUGCAAGGCAGUUUGGGCAUUUUUGGGGUCUAUUUAGGAGCCACUUGAUCUCCUUGUGUCCCUGGACUGGAUGGCUGCCUGUCACCUCUGCUGGACGUGAGCCAAGGCAGGAGGCAGCAUGGGGUUGGGUGUGUCCUGCCGAGUGGGUCAAUACCUAAAGGCCCCCUGGGAGCCCAGUGAUGAGGGGAUCUCUGCCAGGGGCAGAGGGGGAGCUGGGGGAGGGGCUAUGAUGGGGGCUGGAGCCUGCCUUCCUGGGCCUCAGCCUGUGCAUCUGUACAGUAGGUACAAGAGUCCAGGGCUGCCAGGUGGCAGGGAUAGUUUGUAUUUAGAUUCUGCCAGAGGUGUCUUGGCUCUGACCUUAUCUCCUGCUCUCAGCCCAGCCCUCCCCCUCCUUGGUCCCCAUGUCCUCAGCAGGCAGAGGCAGGAUCCCGAGAUCCCCUAAGGGCCUUGCCGAUGGGAACUGACUCUGGGAUUGGGUGGGGGUGCAGUGGGGUGGGGGAGCGUUGCCUGCAGGGAUUUGGAAGCUCUGGGUCCUUCCGGCUUCAUCUUGUUCUCUCACCCUUGUUGGGUAGGCUUAGUGCCCCCUCCCAGGAAUAGCCCCAGCCCUGCCCCUGCAGAUCCCCCAGCCCUUGUGCCCCAGGUGGUCCAACGUGGUGGGCACACGGAUGCCCAGCCAAUGUGGUGGGUACACAGAUGCCCAGCAACUCCUUUGCCUCUGGAGCCUGGUCAGCCAGGUAGGCUGCAGGCCCAGGUUGUCCACUCCAGGUGGGGCCUGGAGACCCGGGCAGGCCAGGUGGGUAGGGCGGGGUCUGCCCAGCCAGAGCCUCGCCCUGGCUUUGCAAGUGACAAUGUAAUUGCUCUGUAAAUUUACCUUUGAGGAAGACCUCAGUGAGCACUUGCCCCUCCCGGCUGGAACCAACAUCUAGAAGCUGAAAUACCAGUUUCCAGUGUUGCGAGAAGGAAGGACUUGAGGGGGGCUAGGGGAGCAGGUGGUGCGGGGAGCCUGGGGACAGCACUGGCCCUGUGCCUGCCCCAUUCUCCUGGGGCAACUGAAUCAACCCUUCUGUGAGGCGCUGUGGGGCCCCAGGAAUGACUCGGCCCCUGCCCGCCCUGGGGCCGCUCUGGUACAGGGCUGGCAGCAGCGCUGAUGGCGAAAGUUCAGAUGAGGAGAUGGCGAGGUACCCUACAUGGAAGGAAUGGCAAAGGCAACAUCUUGGACAGAGAAAAGCUUUAGCAAACCAGGGGAGAGGGUGGCCGUCCCGUGGCAUGGCAGUCCUGGCUGGCAGAGGGAAGGAUGGACGUCUAGGGUAGAGGCGUGAUUCGGGAAGGGUGGGUGGAGCAGCUCCAGGAAGGCCUUGAAGGUUGGUCUUUAUUCUGCAGGCCCAGCAGAGCUGCUGAAGGUCUGUGAGCAGGGCAGGGUCAUUCCUUCAGUUACAGAGUUUUAUUGAGCACCUAGUGAGUGCCAGGCGCUGUCCCAGGUCCUGGAGGCACUGGAGUGUCUAUUGUUAUUAUGGGCAAUGUUCUCUGAGCAUCAUGUGUUCUGCGCAUUAUUCUAAGUGCAUAUUAUACAUAUUACAUUAUUUCACCUUCAUAACAACCUUAUGAGGUAGAUACUGUUAUCAUCCCCAUUUUGCAGACGAGGAAACUGAGGCACAUCCAGGGUUAAAAUGAUUUGCCCGUGGCCACAGAACUACUAAGAGAUAGAACAGGAUUUGAGGGGUUCCCUGGUCACUCAGCUGGUUAAAGAUCUAUCAUGGUCACUGCUGUGGCGCAGAGUUUGAUCCCUGGCCUGAGAACUUCUGCAUGCUGCGGGCAUGACCAAAAAGAAAAAAAAAA